rnacentral:rRNA from 1 species
CCUACGGGCGGCUGCAGUGAGGAAUAUUGGUCAAUGGACGCGAGUCUGAACCAGCCAAGUAGCGUGAAGGAUGACUGCCCUACGGGUUGUAAACUUCUUUUAUAUAGGAAUAAAAUGAGCCACGUGUGCCUUUUUGUAUGUACUAUAUGAAUAAGGAUCGGCUAACUCCGUGCCAGCAGCCGCGGUAAUACGGAGGAUCCGAGCGUUAUCCGGAUUUAUUGGGUUUAAAGGGAGCGUAGAUGGAUUGUUAAGUCAGUUGUGAAAGUUUGCGGCUCAACCGUAAAAUUGCAGUUGAUACUGGCAGUCUUGAGUACAGUAGAGGUAGGCGGAAUUCGUGGUGUAGCGGUGAAAUGCUUAGAUAUCACGAAGAACUCCGAUUGCGAAGGCAGCUUACUGGACUGCCACUGACACUGAGGCUCGAAAGUGUGGGUAUCAAACAGGAUUAGAUACCCCUGUAGUC